CACUACCUCUGUGUCAUAGUAUUGGUCUACUCCUCAUAUUUAGGAGGCACAAAAACUAAGUAAUCUUUUAACCAAAUAUUGAAUGUUGCAUGCAUAUAAACACACAAAUCGGAUUCAGUUUUACUUAUUAACAUUACUAGUAGAAAAUUGUGUGUGGACCUGAUGGACAUUGUGAAAUGGAGAGCACAUAUGUGGAUGCGUUUUGUUUCUAGUAGAAAAUUUGUAUGUGCCCACUAUUAUAGGUGACCUUAAUAAGACGAGCUAGCUAUUGGUUUGGCUGUAUCAUUAGCCUUCCACAUGGUAACGGUGUCAAGCUGCCCCUUUGAAAUACCUAUAAUGCCCACAUUGUAUUCAACGACUCAGCUUU
rnacentral:lncRNA from 1 species